rnacentral:rRNA from 1 species
UACGAAGGGGCUAGCGUUGCUCGGAAUUACUGGGCGUAAAGGGCUCGUAGGCGGCCAACUAAGUCGGACGUGAAAUCCCUCGGCUUAACCGGGAACUGCGUCCGAUACUGGAUGGCUUGAGUUUGGAGAGGGAUGCGGAAUUCCAGGUGUAGCGGUGAAAUGCGUAGAUAUCUGGAGGAACACCGGUGGCGAAGGCGGCAUCCUGGACCAACACUGACGCUGAGGAGCGAAAGCCAGGGAGCAAGCGGG